GCUCGUGCCGUGAGGUGUUGGGUUAAGUCCCGCAACGAGCGCAACCCCUACUUCUAGUUGCUACCAUUAAGUUGAGGACUCUAGAGGAACUGCCCGUGCAAACGGAGAGGAAGGUGGGGAUGACGUCAAGUCAUCACGGCCCUUACGUCCUGGGCUACACACGUGCUACAAUGGGUACUACAGAGGGCAGCUACAUGGUAACAUGAUGCAAAUCUCGAAAGGUAUCCUCAGUUCGGAUUGAGGUCUGCAACUCGACCUCAUGAAGCUGGAUUCGCUAGUAAUCGCGCAUCAGCAAUGGCGCGGUGAAUACGUUCCCGGGCCUUGUACACACCGCCCGUCAAGCCAUGAAAGUUGGGAGUAUUUAAAGUAGGUAGCCGCAAGGCGCCUCCUAGAGUAAAACCGAUAA
rnacentral:rRNA from 1 species